rnacentral:rRNA from 1 species
UACGUAGGUGGCAAGCGUUGUCCGGAAUUAUUGGGCGUAAAGCGCGCGCAGGCGGUCCUUUAAGUCUGACGUGAAAGCCCACGGCUCAACCGUGGAGGGUCAUUGGAAACUGGGGGACUUGAGUACAGAAGAGGAAAGCGGAAUUCCACGUGUAGCGGUGAAAUGCGUAGAGAUGUGGAGGAACACCAGUGGCGAAGGCGGCUUUCUGGUCUGUAACUGACGCUGAGGCGCGAAAGCGUGGGGAGCAAACAGG